UACUGUGAAAAUCAGUGCUCGGCGGAAGGGGCGUGUCUCAGCCGGCUCUCCGUGCGGGAGCGCGCAGCAGUGAUCCCGGUGUGACAGCUCGGAUCAGUCCACGUCAACACGGCGGCAGAGACAGAGGCAGCAGCGGCGAUGGACGCAGCGUCCCCGGAACCCUCUCUGUACACGGUGAAAGCCGUUUUCAUCCUGGAUAACGACGGGAACAGGCUGCUGUCAAAGUACUACGACCCGGAGCUGUACCCGUCCAUAAAGGAGCAGAGGAACUUCGAGAGCAACGUCUUCAACAAAACCCACAAAGCAGACAAUGAGAUCGCCUUCCUGGAGGGGCUGACCAUCGUGUACAAGAGCAGCAUAGACCUCUUCUUCUACGUGGUGGGCAGCGCUCAGGAGAACGAGUUGAUGCUGAUGUCGGUGCUCAGCUGUCUGUUCGACUCCCUCAGCCACAUCCUCAGGAAAAAUGUGGAGCGGAAGUGUUUACUGGAAAACAUGGAGGGGGCCUUCCUGGUGGUGGACGAGAUCAUCGAUGGGGGGGUGAUUCUGGAGAGUGACCACCAGCAGGUCCUGCAGAAGGUCAACUACAGGCUCCUGUCAGAGCCAGCCUUUGGCUUCGUCCUGUUCGAUUACAUCACUGGUAACCUAGAGGGAGGGACAGACAAAACCCAGCAGCUUUAGACUGGCAAGCUGAGGGCGGACGACAACCCUUUGACCGAGCAGAGUGUCACCCAGCACCUAACAGAGAAGCUGGCUCUGACCUCUAACGUUCUCCAGUCGGCUAAAGACCAGAUCAAGUGGUCCAUACUGAAGUGACCCCGCGUGAAGGAGCGGGGAGAGGUGUGGGUCAAGCGAGGACUUUUGUUUUGCAUCAUUUGUUUAACUUAUUUGGUUUGUAAGGGAUGUCACACGUGGAUGUUUGUUAUUUUGUUGUCACGGGGAUGAGCGGGGGGAGCCGAGCCAUGAAGGACGGCGCACGGCUCCGUGCACGGCUCUGUGCUCAACACGCUCAAGCUACUUUGUGUCAAACGCUUUUGUUGUUGAGUGGAAAAAUACCAAAGACUCAUUUCUAGAUUUUGCUCAAACAGAUGUUACGUUUUGUGAGGCUGCUAAUAAAACAGUUUGCUGACUGUU